AUGGUGUGGAAACUGGCAGUACCACCCAAGAUACAUGUUUUCCUUUGGUUAUUUUCCCAGAAUAAGCUUAUAACUAGGGAUAACCAGAGGAAAAGACACAUAAUCAAACCUCUAGAGUGUGUAUAUUGUGCUGAGCAUGAGACCAAUCACCAUCUAUUUUUUGACUGUGUUAUAGCCAAAAACAUUUGGUCUUUUGUCAAUCUUUUUUUCCAAAAGGAGGUGGGCUUGAAUUUUGAAUCUAUGGCCCACUUCUGGAUUUCUCAAAAACACGUAGCUUUGAAUAUAGUUAGCUCUGCUGUCCUGUGGUGCUUAUGAAAAUAUAGGAACUCUAUGAUUUUCAAUAACACCAUUUGGACAUCCAUUACUCAGGUUUGGGGACUGAUACAUAGAAUGAUCAAAUUCUGGGUGAUCUUGACCCCAUAAGUGAACAAGGCCCAGAUGGAGACGUUCUUGGAAGCAUUGAAGAAGCUUCUCCAACAACCUUUGAUGAUCCCAAGUGGCUGA
rnacentral:rRNA from 1 species